rnacentral:misc_RNA from 1 species
AAAAAAAAAAAAAAAAGAAAUUAAGUUUUAGCUAAUUUCAGAAAAUGAAGCAGAUGUACCAAGUACCAACACAUAAUAGUUUAUUCAACAAAUUUAAGGGAAAGUUUCAGUAGAAAGAUUGUCUGCAUGGAAAUUUAUUGUUAUUUCAUUAUUGAUGAGAAGAACAAAUGUAAAUGGCAUGCAAGAAACCAUUGUCUCACAAAGGAAGAAAGCCCAAAAAACUGACAGGCGUAAAAAAGUGAAAAUUGUGAUAUCUAAUUCUUAAGCGACACAUUUUGGUUUAUAAUUACCUGAAAUAAAAGGAGCAAUCCAAGGAGACCAACAGGUACAGCUGGUGCCAGAUUAUUUGUAUAAGUUAAUCCACCAGCUAA